rnacentral:misc_RNA from 1 species
UACGGAGGACCCGAGCGUUAUCCGGAUUCAUUGGGUUUAAAGGGUGCGUAGGCGGGGUAGUAAGUCAGGGGUGAAAGCCGGCAGCUCAACUGUCGAAUUGCCUUUGAUACUGCUAUUCUUGAGUGUGAUUGAUGUGGGCGGAAUGUGACAUGUAGCGGUGAAAUGCGUAGAUAUGUCCCAGAACACCAAUAGCGAAGGCAGCUCACAAAGCCACCACUGACGCUGAUGCACGAAAGCGUGGGUAGCAAACAGG